UUUGCUAUCGAUCUAUUUUCCUCUUUCUCUCGCCAGUCGCUGUGAACCCUCUCGAAUCAACAAAUUUCUCUCACUCUCCUCACACACAAAUCCAAAACCAAAGAACCCAAUCCAAAUCGCUCUUGCUCAGAAUCGUGAAAAAUUGUUGUUUAGUUUGUUCCCCGUUAAAUCAUGGCAAUAGAAAUAUUGAAUUAUUUUGUGUUCGUGAUUGAUCUGAUUACUAUUGUAUUAAGCUGAUUUUAACUAUAAAGUUUUAUCAGAGUGUUUGUUUAUUGACUUUAUGGUAUCUACAACUUCAACUGUUGUUAUUUUAUGUUUGCAGAUUUUGGAACCAGUUUGCAGUCAGAUUCCUUGAAUCUUUUGGAUCCAGUGAUGGCUUCAAGCAUCGCAAAAACAAAAGGCAAAAGAUAUUUGCAAGUUGAUCAUACGCAUGCAUCCACUUGCCGCUUCAUCUGUUUGACUGUUUCUUCUGCUCCAUGGUAGGGAGGGAGUCUCCAGACUGUUCAAGGGAGAGUGGUAGAACAGGGGACGGAGUUUUUAUCGAAGGAUGAAGAACACGAAUAUGGAUAGUUGUCUAUGAGAACACAAAGGAAUUGCAAUAUGGAGGACUGGGGCAUAGAUGGACAGGGAGAUAUGAAGUUCAUUUAUGGGACAAAGGGUCUUGGCAUCCAACAUAAAGGAAUAAGGGAAAGAAAGUUUAUCUGGGAGCUCAUGGUGAAGAAGAAUUCGUAGCAAGAGCAUAUGAUUUGGCAGCACUCAAGUACUGGGGAACAUCAACUUCUAAAAAAUUUCCAGUGUCUGAAUACUUAACAUUAAAAGAAUGCUUGGCCUCUCUAAGAAGAAGAAGCUGUGACUUCUCAAAUGGUGUAUACAAGGGCAAUGGUGAUUACAACCCCUUCAUCAAAUAUGACUAUUUUGAUAUUGUCACGUGCCACAUUAUCCAGUUGUAAUUCAGUCUCUGUCUUUGUUUUUACUUUGAUGUGACUCUGAAUAACCAUACGUACUUUACCGUCAAAAUCACACCCAUCCAAUGAUCAUGAUUUGUAUUUGCAUGAAAUUAUAUACCUUGGAUGUUGUUGGUGUAAUUCUAUAUGAGAUAUGGACAUCAAGCUACCUAUUCAAUUUGUGUGUUGUGCUAAA